rnacentral:rRNA from 1 species
GACGAACGCUGGCGGCGUGCCUAAUACAUGCAAGUCGAACGCAGUGGCGGACGGGUGAGUAACACGUGGGUAACCUACCCAUCAGAGGGGGAUAACACUUGGAAACAGGUGCUAAUACCGGAUAGUGGGGGAUGGGCCCGCGGCCUAUCAGCUUGUUGGUGGGGUGAUGGCCUACCAAGGCGGUGACGGGUAGCCGGCCUGAGAGGGGGACCGGCCACACUGGGACUGAGACACGGCCCAGACUCCUACGGGAGGCAGCAGUGGGGAGUAUUGCGCAAUGGGCGGAAGCCUGACGCAGCGACGCCGCGUGGGGGAUGACGGCCUUCGGGUUGUAAACCUCUUUCGCCAGGGACGCGGUACCUGGAGAAGAAGCACCGGCCAACUACGUGCCAGCAGCCGCGGUAAUAC